ACUCUUUCGGUUGCCAGCUUGGACCUGGCUCUCCAAGGGUCCCUCGGUCUGUUUCUAUAGGGCCGUGCCCUGGCCCACCCUUCAGGGUGGACCCAUGAGGCCUGCAGCCACUCUGGCCAACCCUUCAGCCCUCAAGAACCUCCAUCAGCACCAGGGAGCCUGGGCUCCAAGAACCUCCUCUCUGCUGUGGCAGCUUCCUCUUUGUGUCCUUCCCUCCCAUUUCUGCACCCCGAUUUCCAGAGGGCCUCUGGCCGAGGGUGAGAACCCACUGACCCCCAGGGAGAAGCCCUGCAGAGCAAAGACCUCACCCUGAGGAGCUUCCACCCCCUGGACACCUUGACUCCAUCCUUCAGCAUCCCUUCCCUCACUGUACCCUGACUGCUUAGACCACCUCCUUCUCCAGCCCCCACUGAACAACAGAUUGGGAAGGGGAAUUUUGCAAGGUUCGAGACCCCAGAGCUGUCCUAGGGGAAGGGGAAGGCCGGUCAGCCCAGGGAUUAAGUUGCCUCUAGCCCAGCCCUCUGUCCAGUUACCAGCAUGGGGCUGGGGUGGGGG